rnacentral:rRNA from 1 species
CUACGGAGGGUGCAAGCGUUAUCCGGAAUCAUUGGGUUUAAAGGGUCCGUAGGCGGGCAAAUAAGUCAGAGGUGAAAUCCCACAGCUCAACUGUGGAACUGCCUUUGAUACUGUUUGUCUUGAGUUAUAGUGAAGUAGAUAGAAUAUGUAGUGUAGCGGUGAAAUGCAUAGAUAUUACAUAGAAUACCGAUUGCGAAGGCAGUCUACUAACUAUUGACUGACGCUAAUGGACGAAAGCGUGGGGAGCGAACAGGAUUAGAAACCCUAGUAGUCC